GAAGGUCAGGCUGAAGACCUUACCCGAUUAGCUGAGAGGUGGUGCAUGGCCGUCGUCAGUUCGUACUGUGAAGCAUCCUGUUAAGUCAGGCAACGAGCGAGACCCACGUCCACAGUUGCCAGCAUACCCUCCGGGGUGAUGGGUACACUGUGGAGACCGCCGCCGCUAAAGCGGAGGAAGGAGUGGGCAACGGUAGGUCAGUAUGCCCCGAAUCUCCCGGGCUACACGCGGGCUACAAUGGUUGGUACAAUGGGCAUCUACCCCGAAGGGGGAAGGAAAUCUCUUAAAGCCAAUCGUAGUUCGGAUUGAGGGCUGCAACUCGCCCUCAUGAAGCUGGAAUCCGUAGUAAUCGCGUUUCAACAGAACGCGGUGAAUACGUCCCUGCUCCUU
rnacentral:rRNA from 1 species